GCAGUACAGGCUUUUUCUGUCCUUCAGCGAUAAGCCAUGAAACCUACAGAUAAAACCAGAAGGUCUAAAAAUAUCCAUAAAAGAUUGUUUAAUGUGACACUUAUGAAAAUGCUCUUUGUUGUCAACAAGUGUUUCAGAUAAUAUGGUUCAUUGUCUGAAACACUUGACUAAUAUGUCAAUAUAUUUAAUUCUCUCACCCUGUAUAAUG
rnacentral:misc_RNA from 1 species